rnacentral:rRNA from 1 species
AUGGCAACGGCAGCCUCCGCCUCCGCCUCCCCCGCCGCUCUCCGCGCCAAAACCCCAGCCCCGGGCGCGCACCCCAGCCCGAAAUCCAGCCUCGCAUUCCCGUGGCCUUCCCCCGGCGCCUCCGCGUCCGCCUCCGCCGCUGCCUCCGGCAGGCUCCACGCCAGCCUCCACCUCGGCGGGGUCCGCGGCGUCGGCACCGCCAACGGCACCGGCCUCCACGUGCUGCCCCCCGACGUCAAGCCGCUGGCCGUGCCCAAGAUGGCCGGCGGCGCGGGGGCGCAGAAGAGCAUCCUGCUCUACCACUGCGAGGAGAUGAGGGAUCUCGCCCAGCAGGUGGCCGCGCGGAAUGACGACAUCGAGCUCUGCACCAUCUCCUGGAGGAAGUUUCCGGAUGGAUUCCCAGAUUUGUUCAUACCAAAUGCCCAGAACAUUCGUGGGCGACAUGUUGCUUUCUUAGCAUCAUUCAGCUCGCCUGGUGUCAUAUUUGAGCAAAUAUCGAUUAUAUAUAAUCUGCCAAAGCUGUUCAUUGCUUCAUUUACUUUGAUACUGCCAUUUUUCCCAACUGGGACUUCCGAGCGUAUGGAAGACGAAGGAGAUGUCGCAACCGCCUUUACACUUGCUAGAAGCUUGUCACACAUACCAAUAUCCAGAGGUGGACCCACCAGUUUAGUGAUUUUUGAUAUUCAUGCUUUGCAGGAGAGAUUCUACUUUGGAGACGCAAUCUUACCAUGUUUUGAGAGUGGCAUCCCCUUGUUGAAAAGUAGGCUUCAGGAGCUACCUGAUUCUGAUAACAUAGCCAUAGCUUUUCCAGAUGACGGCGCAUGGAAGCGCUUCUAUAAGCAACUUCAACAUUUUCCUAUGAUUAUAUGCAACAAAGUUAGAGAAGGUGAUCAAAGAAUUGUGCGUAUAAAAGAAGGAGAUGCUAGAGGCCGUCAUGUUGUUAUAGUGGAUGACUUGGUGCAGUCUGGUGGUACUUUGAUUGAAUGCCAGAAAGUGUUGGCUGCUCAUGGAGCAGCAAAGGUUAGUGCGUACGUGACACAUGGCAUUUUCCCCAACAAAUCAUGGGAGAAAUUUAAGCCUGAUAAUGGAGAGGGUCCGGAGCAUGCCCUGAGCCACUUUUGGAUUACCGACUCGUGCCCUCUCACCGUUGAAGCGGUCAAGGACAGGCGGCCGUUUGAAAUUCUCAGCCUGGCAGAUUCUAUUGCUUCUGCUCUUCAGAUUUAG